UUAGACGCUGCCCAGUGGUCAUCCCAUCCCAGAAGGUUCACGGUAAACAGAACAGGUAACACCAAGGUUUCUAUUUCAUCGCCUGUCCUGUACAGAGUCAACACUGGGAAACUGUGAAGGAGGUUAGCUUCGUCUUCAUGCUCUUCAAGCUGCGCCUUCCCAUGCCUUGUCUUCCGUGGAGAAAUGGGAACCGCCACCUGCUCAGCUUGCUAGCAGAGCCUUUCUUGGGAAUCUGUUCUCAGCUCACAUCCCAGGCAAAAAGAGCUCACCAUUGACAGUGGCUCAAAGUAAAAUCAGAUCCUUUCAGGAGGAAAAGACAAAGGAACUGAGUAAUCUACCAUUAUGUUCCAACUCAUUCUAAACUCAGGUGACUCCAGGACUUCCAGACAAGCUGGGAAGAAGACAGGAAAAAAAGGCACGCUGGGAAAGAGAGUGAGGCUCAAAAUGUGUUCCAGCGACUGCUCCCAUGGAAUCAGUGUCAUUUGGGGAGGAAGAGCUAGAGGGGAACGUUCUCCAUGGAGAAAAGAUGCAGAGCCAUCUUUAAUGCAGAGGAGCUGGGGGCGGAGAGGCAUGAGGUGUAAUAGAGCUCACGGACUGUCUCAGUGAGUUUCCAUUUUCGGGUCAGACGCAGCUGCAGACGUGAUCAAGGACUCCAGUGCUCCACAGCUGGCGGUGGGCAGAUGUUUUCAAGAUGGCAGAAAAGGACAAGAAAGAGCAGCAGAAAUUUCAUCGGCAGCAUCUGCACUCAACAGCUAAGAAAGCCUGGUGACGGGGGAGGGAUGCAGCAGGCUCCACACUGAAGAAGAGGACCACAGCAGGCCAGGCACACUGCGAGGAAGCUGUGUGAAUCUCUGGGGUCCGACACCACAGAUUAGCUUGGUCGGCUGAGUUGAGUUUUUCCCCUUUCACCAGGUGUUGCUUCUGAUAUUUCUAGAAGACACAGUCUCACAGCAAACUCCCUGAUCCUCUGGCUCUUACAUUUCUCCCCCUCCCCCCUGCAAUGUUCCCUGGGCCUUGGGUGCAGAAGUGUUUUGUAUGUGUAUGUGGAUUCAUUGGUACUGAGCUCCACAACUCUGCAUAUUGACUGGUUAUAGUUUUCAGUAGUGGUCUCAGAUAGUAUCCCAAAAGCAACUGGAACUUGAGUUCAUAAAUUUAUAAUUUUCAAAGCCAAUCGAGAUGUAUAUAACUACUGAAUU